UACGUAGGGUGCAAGCGUUUGUCCGGAAUUAUUGGGCGUAAAGAGCUCGUAGGCGGUCUGUCGCGUCUGCUGUGAAAACUCAGGGCUUAACCCUGAGCUUGCAGUGGGUACGGGCAGGCUGGAGUUCGGUAGGGGAGACUGGAAUUCCUGGUGUAGCGGUGAAAUGCGCAGAUAUCAGGAGGAACACCGGUGGCGAAGGCGGCGAUCUGGGAAGAUACUGACGCUGAGGCACGAAAGCGUGGGGAUCAAACAGG
rnacentral:rRNA from 1 species